rnacentral:misc_RNA from 1 species
GAAAUGCGAUACGCAAUGCGAAUUGCAGAAUUCCGCGAGUCAUCAGAUCUUUGAACGCAGCCCGCGCCGGAGGGAUAUCCUUCCAGCAUGUUUGUUUCAGUGUGUUUGAUUGACUUCGAACAGUCAAGUGCGAUUGAGUUUUAUGACUCUCUCGUUAAGGAGGAACGCAUGGGGGCUCUACCCUUCCAGCGAAGUGGUCACUGUUCUUCAGUGAUUUCGUUGGGUUCACAAGCGUGGAGCCUAUUCUUUAUGAACGUGCGUUAUUACUAACAACACAUCUUCGAUCGGCACCUGAAAUCAAGCAAGAUCACCCGCUGAACUUAA